rnacentral:rRNA from 1 species
UACGGGGGGAGCAAGCGUUGUUCGGAUUUACUGGGCGUAAAGGGCGCGUAGGCGGCGUAACAAGUCACUUGUGAAAUCUCUGGGCUUAACCCAGAAAGGUCAACUGAUACUGCGGGGCUAGAGUGCAGAAGGGGCAACUGGAAUUCUCGGUGUAGCGGUGAAAUGCGUAGAUAUCGAGAGGAACACCUGCGGCGAAGGCGGGUUGCUGGGCUGACACUGACGCUGAUGCGCGAAAGCUAGGGGAGCGAACGGG